AUAAUACUCCCUCCGUCAGGAAUUACUUGUCAUCAAAAUGGAUGUGUCUAGAACUAAAAUACAUCUAGAUACAUCCAUUUCAAUGACAAGUAUUUUCGGACGGAGGGAGUAGUAG
rnacentral:pre_miRNA from 1 species